GGAGAUGGAUUCUGAGACACGAAUCCAGGCCCUACGGGGUGCAGCAGGCGCGAAAACUUUACAAUGCUGGGAACAGCGAUAAGGGAACCUCGAGUGCCAGGUUACAAAUCUGGCUGUCGUGAUGCCUAAAAAGCAUUGCAUAGCAAGGGCCGGGCAAGACCGGUGCCAGCCGCCGCGGUAACACCGGCGGCUCGAGUGGUAACCGUUAU
rnacentral:rRNA from 1 species